rnacentral:pre_miRNA from 1 species
AGCUUUCUGAAUCCGUGCUGAGAUUUCGUCAGUCGCCAACCUAUUUGGGCUGGUCAGACUUCCAAGAUAAGUGAAAUU